rnacentral:rRNA from 1 species
AUGCUCCGCCUCCGUCUCCGAUGGCGCGCCCUCUCCCAGCUCCUCUCGGCCCCCUCCGCCUCUCCCAUCUCCCAGCUCCUCGGCUAUCACAGCCGCCUCCUCUCCGCGGCCGCGCCCGCCGUUUCCACCAACCAUAGCUUCGCCGUCGAGGACUACCUCGUCUCUACCUGCGGGCUUCCCCAAGCGCAGGCCCUCAAGGCCUCCCACAAGCUCGCCCACCUCAAGUCCCCAGCCAAUCCCGACGCCGUCCUCGCCUUCCUCGCCGGCCUCGGCCUCUCCGGCGCUGACGUGGCCGCCCUCGUCGCCAGGGACCCCCGGUUCCUCUGCGCCGGCGUGGGGACAAUACUGGCCCCCAACGUCGCCGCGCUCACCGGCCUUGGUCUCGCGUGCUCUGACAUCGCGCACCUCCUCUGGCACGCCCCCACAAGUUCCAUCGUCCCCAAUAUACACUACUGCCUUGUGCAUCUUCGGGUCCUACGAGAAUCUCCUCUCUGCUAUCAAGCGCAAAUCCUACAUUCUCUCGUCCGACCUCGACAGGGUGGUCAAGCCCACUGUCGCGCUCCUACGAGAGUUUGGGAUUGGUCCUUGUGA